rnacentral:lncRNA from 1 species
GACCUAUCGAUCACAGAUCACGCGAUGGAGGCAAGUUAACAGGCGAAGCAGUUUGUAUAUAUAUUAAUUAUGUAGGUAUUAUGUAGGUAUACAUACUAACUUGGACGGUUGCGAAUUGAAGUACAUUAUAUUAGUUUAUUUAUUCAUGAAUAUGUGAUAUAUUAAAUGAAGGAUGCUUCAAGAGGAUAGAAGGGGUUAAAUCUUUUAUCACUGAUCAUGAUCAUGACGAAGUCCACAACAUGUGGUUUUAAGAUUAAAUAAUAUUGAGACUCAUGUUUUGCUGAAUAGAUAUAGCAUAUAACAUAUAUGCAAGAAUAAUAAGUAUCUGUACAAGCUUACUUCUUUCAAAAUUUUACCAUGUUUACCACCUGAAAGUGUCGAAAUAUUUAAGUAGAUCAAAAAAUCUUUUUUGAACAGGGCAUAUACAUCAAAAUUUGUAGUUUUAUAAUUUGAACUGUGGGUGCACUUGUGGAUAGAAAAUGUAAUGAGUGUCACCAAAAGAUUUAUAUCAUGAUAAUUGAUAUCACAUAUUUUAUAUCCUAUUAUAAGAUUUCUGUAGUUUAGUAUAUGAUGACCAAUUUUAACUUUAUUUAAUAGUAUUUUGAUCUUCUCCAAAAAAGUUUUAAAGUAUUGACAUUCUAGAAAAAAAUGUUUAUAAUCUUCUGUUACAUUACAUAAGUCACAUUUAAUGUCUUCUUUUAUCUUCCAUCGAAAAGGCAGUUGUUUACAAGGAAGGAUAUGAUGCAUCAAUUUCCAUUUAAAUAUUUAUACUCUGUUAUCUUUUAAACAGGUCGAGAACUCUAGAUUUCCUGACGUCAGAACUUGAUAAAUUUGCAUAGUAAUUUCAUAAAACACAAGGCCAUGGCAAGAUGGCCUCGAAAAACUGACCAAUCGACUCAAUGAACUACAAUGCACCGGGGGCUACUACGAGUUUACUACAACUCGAAAACACGUGGAAUUAGUGA